rnacentral:rRNA from 1 species
UACAGAGGUCCCAAGCGUUGUUCGGAUUUACUGGGCGUAAAGGGUGCGUAGGUGGCGAGGUAAGUUUGAUGUGAAAUCUCCGAGCUCAACUCGGAAAUGGCAUUGAAUACUAUCCCGCUUGAGGGUCGGAGGGGAGACUGGAAUUCUCCGGUGUAGCCAGUGAAAUGCGUAGAUAUCCGAGAGGAACACCAGUGGCGAAGGCGAGUCUCUGGACGACUCCUGACACUGAGG